rnacentral:rRNA from 1 species
UGGGGAAUUUUGGACAAUGGGCGAAAGCCUGAUCCAGCAAUGCCGCGUGUGUGAAGAAGGCCUUCGGGUUGUAAAGCACUUUUGUCCGGAAAGAAAUCCUUGGCUCUAAUACAGUCGGGGGAUGACGGUACCGGAAGAAUAAGCACCGGCUAACUACGUGCCAGCAGCCGCGGUAAUACGUAGGGUGCAAGCGUUAAUCGGAAUUACUGGGCGUAAAGCGUGCGCAGGCGGUUUGCUAAGACCGAUGUGAAAUCCCCGGGCUCAACCUGGGAACUGCAUUGGUGACUGGCAGGCUAGAGUAUGGCAGAGGGGGGUAGAAUUCCACGUGUAGCAGUGAAAUGCGUAGAGAUGUGGAGGAAUACCGAUGGCGAAGGCAGCCCCCUGGGCCAAUACUGACGCUCAUGCACGAAAGCGUGGGGAGCAAACAGGAUUAGAUACCCUGGUAGUCCACGCCCUAAACGAUGUCAACUAGUUGUUGGGGAUUCAUUUCUUAGUAACGUAGCUAACGCGUGAAGUUGACCGCCUGGGGAGUACGGUCGCAAGAUUAAAA